rnacentral:rRNA from 1 species
CCUACGGGUGGCUGCAGUGGGGAAUAUUGGACAAUGGGCGAAAGCCUGAUCCAGCCAUGCCGCGUGUGUGAAGAAGGCCUUCGGGUUGUAAGGCACUUUCAGUGGGGAAGAAAGCCUUGGGGCUAAUACCCUCGAGGAAGGACAUCACCCACAGAAGAAGCACCGGCUAACUCCGUGCCAGCAGCCGCGGUAAUACGGAGGGUGCGAGCGUUAAUCGGAAUUACUGGGCGUAAAGCGCGCGUAGGCGGUCUGAUAAGCCGGUUGUGAAAGCCCCGGGCUCAACCUGGGAACGGCAUCCGGAACUGUCAGGCUAGAGUGCAGGAGAGGAAGGUAGAAUUCCCGGUGUAGCGGUGAAAUGCGUAGAGAUCGGGAGGAAUACCAGUGGCGAAGGCGGCCUUCUGGACUGACACUGACGCUGAGGUGCGAAAGCGUGGGUAGCAAACAGGAUUAGAUACCCGAGUAGUC